rnacentral:lncRNA from 10 species
CCCAGGCAAAAAAAUAAGUCCAGCAUGGUGGCAUGCGCCUGUAGUCCCAGCUAUUUGGGAGGCUGAGGUGGGAAGAUUGUUGGAGCCCGGGAGUUCAAGGCUGCAGUGAGCCAUGAUUGCUCUGCUGCACUGCAUCCUAGGCAACAGAGUGAGACCCUGUCUCUCUCUAAAAGCAAUAAGCAAACCUACUGAUUCCUGUGAUCCACCACCAGAUUCUGAUUUCAUCUAUCUAUGGGAGGCCUAGGCAUUGGUGUGUGUUAUGUUUUUGCAUUUUUUGUGUCUGUUUUUGUUUGUUUGUUUCCUCUGUACAGAUGAUGUUUUUUAU